rnacentral:ncRNA from 1 species
CGCUCCGAGGGGCGCUGCGACCGUACCGACCCCACCGGGGCUCGCGUCACGGCCAGGCUCGGGCGGCUUCCAUGCAACAACGGCGCCCGGCGAAC